UGGCCACAUCCUAUUGAAAAACCAGUUCCCGUACGAUCAUCGAAGUUAAGCAACAUCGAGCCUGGUCAGUAUCUAGGGACCGCUUGUGAAUACCAGGUGCUGUAU